UGCUUCCCUCUACCUGUCCUCAACAUCACAGACCUUUCUGUGAACUUGUGGGCUUCUCUUUCUCAGCAUCUCAACAUCCCUGGAGCUUUUUCCACCUUUCCCUCGGAGAUGAAAUGUUCAGAAAUCAUAAAUCCAGCCCACCUGCUGACACCUCUGAGCCAGAUCCUCUGCUCCUAGACCAGCCCCUUCCUCGGUCCAUGACCUCCUCCGCCCCUGGUCUUUGCCGUGUUCUAGAAAACGUCCUGGACCAAUUCUCCUCAGUGGCUGCGCACCAUGAUUCUCUUCUCCCUCCUGCUAAUAGGUAUUCUGCGCCUCUGAAGCGGCAGGGACUCUGCUAGAUUUGAUUUGCCAAGGCAAUUCUGAGAGCAAUACUACAGACCCUGGUCCCCGCUGGAUGGGGCCAGUCUUGGUAUGUUGACGUGCUGCCUGCCCCGGUCGGGACUCUGGGUGGUCCCAAGGCUUGCAGGGUGGGGGAGAGGAGAGGGGCCAGCAGCUCUAACUGGGAGGCGCUGGAGAAAGAACAAUUCAG
rnacentral:lncRNA from 12 species